UACGUAGGGGCAAGCGUUGUCCGGAUUUAUUGGGCGUAAAGAGCGUGUAGGCGGCUAGGUAGGUCCGUUGUGAAAACUCGAGCUCAACCUCGAGACGCCGGUGGAAACCAUCUAGCUAGAGUCCGGAAGAGGAGAGUGGAAUUCCUGGUGUAGCGGUGAAAUGCGCAGAUAUCAGGAAGAACACCCGUGGCGAAGGCGGCUCUCUGGUACGUGACUGACGCUGAGACGCGAAAGCGUGGGAGCGAACAGG
rnacentral:rRNA from 1 species